rnacentral:rRNA from 1 species
ACUCAAAUGAAUUGACGGGGGCCCGCACAAGCGGUGGAGCAUGUGGUUCAAUUCGACGCAACGCGAAGAACCUUACCUGGGCUCGAACGGCCGUGGACGUUGGUGGAAACACUGAUUUCCCGCAAGGGACUGCGGUCGAGGUGCUGCAUGGCUGUCGUCAGCUCGUGUCGUGAGAUGUUGGGUUAAGUCCCGCAACGAGCGCAACCCUUGUCCUUAGUUGCUAGCCCCGGCUUGCCGGGGAGCACUUUAGGGAGACUGCCGGCGAUAAGCCGGAGGAAGGUGGGGACGACGUCAAGUCAUCAUGGCCUUUAUGUCCAGGGCUACACACGUGCUACAAUGGGCGGUACAGCGCGCCGCGAACCCGCGAGGGGGAGCCAAUCGCCAAAAGCCGUCCUCAGUUCGGAUUGCAGUCUGCAACUCGACUGCAUGAAGCUGGAAUCGCUAGUAAUGGCGCAUCAGCACGGCGCCGUGAAUACGUUCCCGGGCCUUGUACACACCGCCCGU